UUUAUACGCAAACAUCACAUGGUCUAUGUCAGGUUUGGGUUUCGUUCCACGACUUAUGCCAAAAAUAUCAUCAUGUAUGAUUGAUGUACUUGGACAGGUUUCUUCUAUAUGUAUUAAUUUGUGAUUCCACAAUAUAAAAUGUCUGUAAGAGUAUAUUUUUGUUUCGGCAAAAAAUUUCAGUUGUGUGAGGGUGCGGCUGCCACUGAAUGGGGGGUUGUACGGCUAUGAUGUUGAAAUCCCGGAUUGUCGUCAAAUAGACGUCAACAAGACUGUGAUCACGGUACGUUGAUAUAAAUAUAUAUAAUAAUUAGAACGUGCCGAGGAACAAGUCUUCAUUGAUGUUUUACUUAACAAAACGAUCUAAUUAAAAUUAAACCUUUAUAUCCACUCCCCUGCGAUAGGCUUGUAUAGUGUAUUAAGUAUAUUGACUGAAAAAUACAUGCACAUUUCUUCACUGUAUCAAAAAAAAAUGUCAAACAUUUUUGAAAAUUGAAAAGAAAUACACUAAUGUAUAUACCAAUGCAUAUAAUAAACGAGAUGUAUUUUUAUUCACAUUAGUAUAUAUAUUCAGUACUUUUUGUAACGCAAGUUGUUAACAUGUAAUAGCCUAACAUAGUUCUAUAUUCCAUUGUUCUAAUCUAAAUAUGUAUUUUAUUUUGCUAGCCCAAGAGUGACGUCAUUGAAAUCAAGAUUGUCAAAAUUGGAGAAUUUACUCUUCCUGCCUAGUCUGGAAUGAUAAUUCCAGAGUACACAGAGGUUCUAAAAGAACUGAUAUACUUCUUUAUAUCAUUGUUUAAUAUUUCAAUGUCUUUUUUAUACUGCAAAGUGUUUGUAGCGACUUUUAAGCUUGGAAGGAGUAUUAACACAGAAACUAUCAAACAUAUUCUGACGUAUUCACUUUAUAAUGUCGUGUAAAAUGUUCGUUUUUUAAUUUUUAAAUAUUCAUGAUCUCUCCUGUUAAUUCUAUAAUUUUUUUUUCAAAAUAAAAGGAAUCUCUUAUGUCUGUU
rnacentral:misc_RNA from 1 species